GAAAGAUUUGAAAGAAAAAUAGCAUGUCUAUUCCACCUUCCACACUUGUUCUUUCGACUCAACAUGAACCACCUCACAUCACCACGCGACCUUGUGCAAAUUUUCCUCCAAGCUUUUCGGGUGAUAAUUUCCUUCAGUAUCAUUCACAUUCACUGCAUUUGCUCAAGGGAUGCACCACCAUCUGCUCACAUCCACACGGAUGAUCAUUGCAAGACAAGA
rnacentral:sRNA from 1 species